rnacentral:rRNA from 1 species
GAGUUUGAUCGUGGCUCAGAGCGAACGCUGGCGGCAGGCCUAAUACAUGCAAGUCGAACGGAUCCUUCGGGAUUAGUGGCGGACGGGUGAGUAACACGUGGGGAACGUGCCCUUUGGUUCGGAACAACUCAGAGAAACUUGAGCUAAUACCGGAUGUGCCCUUCGGGGGAAAGAUUUAUCGCCAUUGGAGCGGCCCGCGUCUGAUUAGCUAGUUGGUGGGGUAAAGGCCUACCAAGGCUACGAUCAGUAGCUGGUCUGAGAGGAUGAUCAGCCACACUGGGACUGAGACACGGCCCAGACUCCUACGGGAGGCAGCAGUAGGGAAUCUUGCGCAAUGGGCGAAAGCCUGACGCAGCCAUGCCGCGUGAAUGAUGAAGGUCUUAGGAUUGUAAAAUUCUUUCAGCGGGGACGAUAAUGACGGUACCCGCAGAAGAAGCCCCGGCUAACUUCGUGCCAGCCGCCGCUGU